GGGCGGCCGAGGAAGCCACCGAGCUCCAACCAGAGUCCGUCAGAGCGACUUAUCUUUCGCCGCCUUUAUUAGUCUCUCAUAUCUUGGCCUGCACCUGUCUUUGAAGGUCCAGGAGUUUGGGUAGCCCCCCCCCCCCACUCACCUUAACUCCCCUCCCUCCUCUCCAGACUCCCCUCAUCUCGUGAGGACUGAGGCCCGGGGAUCCCCAUUCAUGGAGGAUGAUCGACACAGCAGUACCUAGAAGAAAAGGCAGCUGUGAUGAGAGAGAGAGGAGAGCGGACCCAUGUCCCCUUUGUGCUUCUAACCACCUCCUCUCUUGUCUUCCCCGGCUGUGUCCACACAAUAGAGCCUUAACAGGAGCUGUCAGCGUGCAACACUAGUGUGACCACCGUGGGCACCGGGGGGUUAGCCGGGAUUGCAUUAGCCCCGUGUUUGUAUGGCACUGAAAGCCAGACGGCUACAGUUAAACCAAGUUUUGUAGUGCGUUGUAAAGACGGCUUUCAGCGCCUUGUUUACCCGCACUGCACUCCAAAGGGACGGAGAGAGCGGCACGUUGAUGAAACGCUGGGGUUUUAAAAUGCUUGAAAAACAACAAAAAAGAAAUAGGUGUUCAGUGUGGGGGGGGGGGGGGGGGGGAGGGGGGCUCCACUUUGCACCUGAGGUUUGAUCAAUAAAGUCAAGUGAUGACACGUCAAUUUGCAGACGCGGUGAGGCCAUGAAUGGCGGCGCUGAGAGAUGGCGGCAGGUGAAUUGUUCCGACAGCGGAUACAGUGUAUCAACGUGCUGCUGUUAAGUGUGCGUUUAUCCCCCCCCGCUGCCACUCAGUCAGUGUUUUCUUACAUUCGGACCUGUAUUUAACCAGCGCUCGUGACAGCGAUUGUCUUUUGCCAUCCCCUAUUGUGCUUUUGCUGUCGUGACGAUGUAAUGUUUAUGAGUUAGUGCAGUGCACACACGGCCACAGGCCAGCUGCAGCCAUUGCUAGAUGCUUGAUACAUGUAAUUAAAACACAAAAGCACAUGAGAGCUUGAGGUUGCGGAUACAAAAGGUGGUGGGCUGGUUUGAUCAGAUACGGUUGAAUCGCUUGGUGAUUUUAAUUGUUACAAAACAAUAACUGGGCAGGUGUCUCAGCAGGAAGGAAUUAGGAGAACACACGUACACGCGAAGGAUAAUCACAAAAGAGAGACCACCUUGGUUGCUCCGGUUCUAGCUGAACUUUGGGAUUUGGCUUAUCGUUUCUUUAAAGGGGACAUCAUUCGAGUCAUUUAAAUUCAUAAAAAGUGACAAAUGCCACUCGUGCAUGUAAAACAUGAAUUCAAAAAUCCAAUUCCAUUUUUCUGAGAUUUAAGUGUUGUUCCCUCACCAUUAGAUGGCAGUGAUGCAUAGCACAGCCCUUUGAUCUCCUGGAAGGAGAUCUGCUCAUUUCUGCCUAAAAAGGCAGAUAAAAUGUUUGCCUAAUCAUUGGUGUGUUUGAACCAGUGAGUCAGCACUAUUCUAAAUAUAUGUCAAUCUCUCUGCCUGCUCCUAAUAUUCAUAAAAAGCUUUUGAAGUCUCACCUGAUAAUCACAGCGCAUGUGUCCUCUUUUGAUCCUCACCUGUGAUUUUCGACACGGAGGAUCAAACAGAGGACUUCAGGCAGGGUUACUGUAAGCGUAGGAUCAGAUCGCACAUUCCGAAGCCGCCAAUAAACAAACAAACAAGUCAUCGGAAACACAUUUGACGGAGAGAAUAACUGCCGUAGCCAAUUGCACGGCCUGUGGUCUGGCUUUUAUCAACACAGAUCAGCAGGGGCCUUUGGUCUGCAGUGCACACGUGGAUCAAACCAGUGUUAUCUGCAGGUAUUACUUGCUGUGUUUGUGUUAUCUAAGCUUCCAGGGGGCUUUAUCGCUGCGAACAGUGAGGCCAGGUGCCCCUAUUUAUUCAAGAUUAGGAUUAUUUGGAUGUUUAAAUAAGAGUCUACAGUUUGACUCACUCACAGGGCUCUGAAAUUUGUUUUCAACAAAUGCACAUAACCACACAGCCAUUUCUCCAGCGAGCUCUUGAGGUGACCUUUAGGGUCUUGCUGGGGGAAAGUAGAUAGUUCUCAGCAGAUUGUAACUUCUUAUUGUAGUAAAAAUAUUAGGAUGUUAAAAAAAUAACAUCCACACAAACUUGUUGAUUCUACAUUUUGUGUAAAAUUGAACCAAUGAAAUUAAGAAAUAUAGCAUAUAAACUGAAUAUAAAAAAUUGUUAUUGUUGAGUAUUAAAGUAUAAAAAUGCACGCUUACGCUAGAAUUAAAUUACACUUGAACUAUAAAUGCAUAGUAAUAAUGGGUGAAGACCGUUUAAAGGCCGGAUUGCACGAUCAACGCGUAUUUCAAGUCACACCACCAGCACACGAACAUGUUGCAGAAAGAUGCACCACUAUCUGGGUCAAAUGCAGUUCAACAGGAACCACGUGUUUUAAGAAUAGCAUGUCCAGACCUAGAACUAUGCCAAUCGCCUAUAUGCAAAUCAUCUGGCAAACAUCCUGAUAUGUAGAACUCAUGAACAACGGAGGCGUGUUGAUCCGAGAGCCUAGAGGGAUGGACAUCCCUGUGCUCCAAUGGGGCUCUCCGAGGGUUCUAAGCAGGAGCCGCCUCCGUCUUAAUAACCAUAUAACCAAAUAAUCAAAAAUGCUCUUAGAGACUAUAUAAUACGAGCGCACUUUGUAUUAACCGCCUUUUUUCAUGUUGUUAAACUGCCUGAAAUAGGUCCGUGCACGUAUAACUGCAGCACAGAAUUCUCUUGUUGCAAAUAAGUACUUGUUUUGCUCGAACGACAUUAUCAUUUCAUCUUGUUACAAAUGCUCUAAUGGACGUUUUUCACUCCCCUGAGCUCUACAGGGGAUUUUUGCAUUGCAUUAUUUGGGAUGUAUGGCCUGCAACUUCAAUGUUUUGCUUCAGCUGCUGCAGACCGGUGUUCUCAAGGAAUUAUCUGUGAUAAACGCGUUACCAACAAAGCACCAAACAGCAAACAAACAAGGUUAGCAACGAGAUAGUGGAGCAUGUAGCAGCCACAGAGACAUAUACUUUCAUUUAGUGGGUAGACUCUGAAAACUAAAAGAGCUAAAAGGUGGAUGAGUAUUACAUUUACCUGCAUGAUCUGUUUUCUUGCCCCAGUGGCUCUAAAAGGCCCAGGUAUUUUUUUAAAUGCACCUGCAUUUACCUUUAACAUAUUAAAAGGGCGCCCACUAACGAAAACUGCACAGCAACUUUGUUUUUUCAACGUGGGUACUGUUGUACUGGUGAUUUGUACUCUGAAUUAAAAUUAUGAAAUUACAUGUCGGACUAAACAAUAUUUCCAAUAAAAAUCCAGCUCCAAAAACAAUAACUUGUGUUUUAACCUCCACUAAAUCUGCUUACCGCAAAAGCAAUCUGUUCUCAAUCUGCCGAGCAGUUUAUGACGUAAAUUCAUGUUUAUUUCUCAUCCAUAUUCUCCUCAACUGCCAGGCAACCAGACAGACAGUGAGUGACGGACGGACGGCCACGUGGUCAGAGGGCGAGAUGGGAGAGCAGCGACUGACAUCCAUCCAGCCCCGUUUGAGCCACAUGUCCCCGUCAUUCCCUCUCAGCCUCUCAGCUCAGAAAAAGCCUUGCGCGUGUCUCUGCACGCCGUGAGCCGCCGAACGCCGUGGUUCUCCUCCCCGUGCGCGGGGCUCUGAACCUAAACCCUUUGGCCAAGUGCAAGAGAGGCAUUAGGGCCCAUGUCAAAACAGCUUACAGCCAAGCAGCGUGCUUCUAAAAGGCCUGGGCCCAUUCAUGGAGUCAUUCAAAGUGACAGCCCCGUGAGCCCACUGCUCUCCGACAAACCCCGUGCGACGGAGAAGGGGAGGGCUGGUGCUCGGCUAAUGUCAGCGAGCGCGGCAUCGCUCUUUGUUAAUGUUGGAAGCCGAGGCCCGGGUUUCCCUUUCAAGAGAAAAGGUCAGCAGCAGCCUGCGGGGAGCGCGCACGUGCAUGAAGUGGGACAGGUACCGACCAAGCUCAUUGUUUCAUUGAACCUGUUUACAUCUGAGCUGAGUCACUGGCCUUGGAGGAACCAGCCACUUGCCACAUCGUCUAUCCGCCAACAAAGGGUUAAACUAAGAGCGGGAAGGGAUAAUCGCUGCGGUCACGUGGGCAACCUUUCUUUUUGCCAAAAAUGCUGUUGGUUGACAUCAAACUGUACACAAAGUCCUUUGAGACAGAACCAACAAACCGUCCAGCGUUGGACGCUUCUGUGCCAAUGUGACUCACGGCAACCGUUAACUGCAGCUUCCGUAAACGGAGCACAGGCCUGUCCUGGUUAAAAGCUGUGACGUGCACGAAUGCUGUAUCACAUUCCUGCUAGUUGAGCUUGUAUUUAUUGUCAAACAAACCGAGUAGUUACCAUAUUGCACCUGCAUCAAGUACGCCGCUAAACCUCCAGUUUGUAGCAUUAGCUUUUGGUGGGCGUUUACAUCACAAAAGAAAUAAUACCAAAUUAAAUUAUUCAUUAGCAACAUUACUCUUAGAUUUGUUAUGAAACAAAUUGCUAAUCAAUACAUCUUGAUAAAAUUUGUCAGUAAAACUGUACAUAUUGUGUUAAGGCGUGAAUAAAAUAUCAACCCCUCACUUAAUAGCCAAGCAGGCUAACCUGCUAAAAACGUUUUGAAGCAGACGAAGGGUCAUAAUAACAUUUUGAAAGUGUCUUCCAAAAAUAUGGCUACUUAAAAGCAAAAGGGAAGGAGAAGCUGUGAAUAAUUAUUUGCGAUCCUUUUCGAUUGUGCUCAUGGACGUUUUCAGCGUUUCUUCCAGUCGUCAGUCAGUCAAUGUUUCCUGAUUCACAGUAACCUGUGCCUUUGACCCCUUGCCCUGUUUGGCUGUUUGUAAUGUUGCUAAACAAGGCGUUGAAGGUUCCUCUACCCGUCACUUUAGAUGAACGGAACAGGACACAAAGGCACCUGACGAGUAAGUUUCAGUGUGACAUUACUGGUAUGUGUACGGCAGCAAGGAUCCAAUAUCACUCUCUGCUGAGCAAGAGACAGAUUGUCCGGGCAGGCUAAAUAAACGGGAGAUUAAUCUGUCUUCUUGCUGCGAGCUGACAAAGUCAGUCAUGGAUGAAAUCGAGGGUUUUGACAAGUAGUCUUUCAAGAUGAAGCCCUGAUAGCAAGAACCUGAGGUGGGAACCUUGAAAUGACUGCAAACAAAUCACAGAGUCAGCCUGACAUUGCUAUUUUCAUGUAGGUGAGCAUAACAAAGGGAAUGUGUUAGGAAUGCUAGUUUGUAAAUUGGAUUGCGUUCCACCUUUUAUUUCACAAUUCAUUUUAUUCUUGAAAAAGCCAGUUUCAAGCUGCAUUGACAGCCAUGAAAUAGCUUUUAAGCUCAGGUGGGGGGGGCAGCCCACUGUCUUUAUUUACAGCCUCAAAUGUUGCUCAGAUAACAUCUGUGUGAGCCAUUUGACACUUUACCGGAGUAAGAGCUGCAGCAGGUGUCAGGGGAGCCACACAGGCAAGCAGCAGGCUUGUCUUAUCAGACGAGGCCCUGCGCUGUCAACGCAGGGAGUGUUAAGUCUGCCGCAUCACACCGACGUCGUCCAGACACCCGCAGACGGAAAUAAAGAAGGGAGCGAUUGUUGUCUAACUCCUUCCUGUUUAACGACCGCCUGAGAGCUCGCGUGAUUGAAUGUCACAUGCAAAAGAGCGAAAGAAACUGUAAACUACAGAAACAGUAUUUCACUGUUAACAAAAUAGGACUUGACUUAAAAAGAAAAGACGAAAGAAAAUCCCCACAAAAGCAAACAAAGCAUAAACCCUAAGAUUGUGUAGCAAUUACUUGGGAUAUUGUAAGAGAGUUCAUUAUUCAAUUAAAAAAUCUACCACACAUCUUUGUUUUUGAUUUUUUGUCACGGUCAGUAAAUCUAGAAAAUCCUGAUCCCCCCCAAUUCCAAGACCUUCAGUAGGACAGCCAGUAAAGUUCCACUACAAAUACAUGCAUUUCACUUACUAACUGACCCUUUUUGGGAUGACACCCUGUUCCCAAUGUGCAUGACUAAACACACAUGUUCAAGCAACACACACAGAGACAUAGCAGACACAGGUGGAUUUCAGACCUAAUAAUUAUUGUUGAGUAACAUACCAACAAGAAGGAAACUCCUUUCUCAGUCUUACUCCAAAAGCUGAAUUCUACUUGUUAGAAUGAACCAGUAUAUGUUUACUUCCCAUCUGGCAUGCGGUUCUCGCUGUCAUUAGCACACGAGCGUACGCUUUGUUUUGAGGCCUCAACCUCUUGUUUGGACAGCUAUCUGAGGAAGUGUUCUUCAGCUGGACAUCCGAGGGAUCCUCUGCUCGCUUUGUGCUGCUGCCUGGUUUAAACCGGACGGCCUGAGGCUUGAACCACAGCAGCCACAGUGAAGGCGUGUUGAGCGUGAGCACUGUACAGUGGCUGACGAUGUAGUUUAGACUCAAUGUGAUGGUAUUUUUACACAAAAUGAUGUGCAAGUGGCGGGAUCGGGCCGGGGUUGAAGGGAGGACGAGGACGGUGCUCUCAGUGAAACAAGGUUGGAGGUGAUGAACUGUCAAAGUGUCAAAAAGAACAAUGAAGUAAGAUAUUUAUUUAUAAGACACCAUAUUGGCCUUGUCUGCUCUCUGCCUGCGUGACGCACAGCUGACGGGUUCAACAAAAUGACACUGUAGCAAGCAACAUAUUGUAAACUUAGAUGGUGCCAUUUAACAGUUUUAGGCCCAAUUAUUUGAGGUCAAAUUAUGAAAUGUUUCAAUGAAAAAAAAAAACUAUAGAGAAAACAAAUUGUGUAGCGGAUUUGACUUUUUCUUGUUUUGUCCCUGUAAUCAUGUUGCUACCCCUCUGUGGAGGGACCCGACACCCCCCGGGUCGGGAACCACUGGAUUUCCAAGUGCUGCUUACGUAUUGACGCAUCAGUAUUAACAAUCUAAUAUCAUAAAAAAUAAUAUACAACGCAACUUUAUCCCUAAACGUCAGAACAGGUGGUUUGCCAGUGAAAUAGCAAAGUAGCACAGUUGUAGUUCCUCACACCUGGUUAGCGUUGUGAAUUGAAAGUAAACUACUUGGUUAUAUUUAUAACGUAACAAGGAAGUGUGAUUUUGUGUUGUUUUUGCUGGUCACUGUGUGGCAAUAGUGGUUUUGGUACUUUUAUUUGACUAAAGUAACCUGAUAUCUUCCACCACUUCGCCCGUCUUCUCUUCCCUCACGUCUUCAGCCCGACCCCAAACUCACACAGACCAAACUAACAAGAGACCUCAGAACAUUCGAGACAAGGUCUUCAGCCGCCAGUGUCAUUGUUCACUGGCCCUGACAAACCCGGACAGGUGGAGACAUUUCUCCAUCUUCGUCCUGCAGAGGAGAUUCGGAUUGACUCUUUUGUUGCUUUCUCGGUCUUCUUUUUGCGUCUCCCUCUCGUUUGGUCUGAACCUCGACCCAUCGAUCACCAGGCGAGCCAAAUUUGCCGAUUCGACAGGUCCGCUGUGCAACGGCUCCGCGAUGGGAGUGAUGAAUGGCGCCGCUCAGUAAUAAACACAGAAGCUGUGCGAUAAAAGAGCGAUUCCUCUAUCUGCUUUUAAGCGAGCGGCGAGAUUAGUUGAAAGGAGACGGGAUGAGAGGAGAUGAGCUCGCUUAAAAAAAAAAAAAAUCCUCCCCGACUAUAAACGGUCAGAGGCCGCUUCUCACCCAGUUCUUCAAACGCAGCGAGCCCGUGUCAGUGAGGGAGACAAAUCUCUCUGGUAAACCGACGCAUUACUGAUUCUAUCCAUCGCGCCUGGAGGGAAGCCUCAAUGGGAGGGCGUGUUGAUAGCUCGCCCUGCUUUUCGUGGCAAAAUCAAAAGAAGCCGAGAGAACUUGAAAUUCAAUUCCAAAGAGCGAACCCGCCAGCCAUCUUCCAGUCGUGACAAAAGCUGGUGUUUGCUCAGUGGCAAACACCAGGUGGACGGCUCUGAAGGGAACAUAGCUCCUUUUUUUUCUCCAUUGCAGCCUUUUGUUUUGCCUUUCAAUUGUCUGGACACAAGAUAAAUGCUGAUGCUCACGCGGGCACAACCAGCCACUGCAGGUGACAUUCCACUAAAGCUAAAGAUAACUGUGGAGUGUUCGCAAAUUGGUGCUGCUGCUUUAAAAGCUGCGGGUCUUUUAUCAAAUUUAACUAAUUCCACCUGGGUAAAUAAGGGCCGGCCACAUAUUGAUAGAUCAUAAACAAAAUCGAAUGAUUUUGCGGACUGUGAUCUCAUGCCUCGCCUUCUGAGUGCUUGAGACGUGGCAGAAAAAAGGGGGUCUGCGCCUGGAUGAAGAGGUUUUCAGGACGGAGCGACGGAGGGAUGUUGUUGUGGAGGCAAGAUGAGGUCAGAGGGAAAUGGAUCCAUCCAUUAGGGGGUAUAAUGAGAGAGAGCAGCUGCCUGCUGCCGAGUCCGACAGCACACAGAUGUGAGGGAGCCUCGGGGCCCGACCGGGCCGAGGGGGAGCGCUGAAGUCCCCGUGCCAUGACCUCACUCCCACAACCAGUGUGAGCGCCACAACCCGCCAGUGCACAAAGAUCAUCCGUGCCCUCAACUCACCUGAGCAAACCCCUCUGGCUGUUCCCGUGGCUGCUUGGCUAAACUCUGUUCGACCUGGAGGGGCCCGUCAUGCAAAACGUUAACUUCACCUCCGCUGGCCAGCACCAACAGCACAUUCAAAUGUUCUCACGGGUGGGGCUUUUUUUUUUUUUUUUUUAGCAUGUGUAGCGUUAAAUGAGGUGUAGAGUACUUUUCAAAUUCCCUGUGUACCACGAGGUCAAGUUGGUGUCAUUAGUUUAGCUUUCACUUAUUGAUAUUUUGUCCAAAAGAAACGCCGGAAACGUGGGAAACUGAUUUGUGCAGUGAGUGGGGGAAACGAUAAGAGCAACUUAGCGCCGUCUCUCUUUAUAGACCCUUAAAAGGACCUUUUAAGAAAUACACAAACAUUGACUUGCUUCUUGGACUUUCUGUGAUUAAAGGUGCCUAAAUGUGAUUUAUUCAUUAUUUUGUCACCCAUUUGGACAGAACCAGCUGUUACCCCUGGCUCCGGGAUUUAUGCUACGCUAGGCUAAGGUCUUCUGACUGUAGCUUUGUAUUUAAUGUGCAAAAGUUCUUUUCAUUUUCCUAAAUAUUGAAUAAUUCCAUUGAUGGCAUCAGCCUGCUGGUGGUUUAGUCGUUUCAUAAAUGCAGUCAGACUUUGGUGAACCGCCAAAUCACUAUUGUAAUGGCUGCAACUGAAUUGUAUGAGAGGACAUGUGUCGGGCUGAACAAGUGAUGCACAAAAAGGUCCCGCGGUGUAAAAAUGUGAUGUGAAGAUGUUAAUAAACAAACUUUUUAUAUAUCUGACAAAGCCAGAUUAAAGCUACGUUACAGUAAUAGUGAAUUGUGUUACUAGUAAUAGUACAGCAUCAUUUCUAGACUUGUUGUAUUGUAAGCAGUAUACAUAAAAAUACAGUACACAUCUUAGAUGCUGCAGUUCAUUUAUGGUAAAGACAUGCAACACACACCCACAUCUGUUUUUCACACACAAAUGUAAAACAAUCAUAGAUGAUGACAUGCAUGCAUGCACGCACACGUACAACUCGGCAAAACACACAGAUUAAUACGCGUCAGAUUCCUCACCGCUGCAAGUGCUGUACGCUCAGGUGACGACACUUAUUUUUCACACACACACACACACACACGUGAUUCUUGGAGGUGUUGACACACGCCGCCAUUUUUAGAUGGCAGUCGGUGGUGAGUCGAGUGUUGUUGCAGGCCCCUGCUCUCUCUCUCUCUCUCUCUUUCGAUGACAUCCAGCUUAGUCAGUAAAGUGUUCCUGCUUUGUAGUGCAUGUUCCCUUGUAGCUGCAGCGCUCUCCAAACCAACUGGGAGCUUUUCUCGGAGGAGUGAGACUGAGACAGUUGUAGUACUUUAUCUCACCGACAUGGAAGAAGGGAGGAAGACAAAAAUGUGGUCUUUGCCAUGUUCCACGUUUUGAUUCUGAAGUAUUCUAUUGCAUAAAGACCUCCAACAAUGCAUUGUGGCAUUUAAUUAUAUAUUUUUUAAAAUGUUCAUUGUUAUAAGCUGCUGUUGGAUUCAGUUGUUCAUCCCAUAGUAUGUUUCUAUUUACUCAGAUUAACAGAAGGAAUAAUGUUUGCUUUUUAGAGGAAUUUACAAUACGUUGAGGUGUUUGCAGCUUAGUCACACUCAACUAUUGAUAUGAAAUGGUUGUGUGUGUUUGAUCUACUGGCUUUUAUUUAAAACAAAAAAUCCUCACGGUAUGUUGCUCACCCAUUGGAUAAAUAGUUGCGAGGCAACGUUACAAUUCAUAGCAACACAAGAGAGAAACACAAGCUGGGCUAAAAGAAAACCAGAGAGCGCUCUUUGGGUCAUUGGAUUCCUCUGUGUUUACCCUGAGCCUUUUGUGGGAUUGACGCUUCGAUCCCCACCUCCUCCUGGGAGUUUUUUCCACCGUGACAUGUGCAGUGGGGAAACUUAAGCCUCAGCAGAUCUCCCAAACAGGAAUUUUCACUUCUUCUCUCCAUAAUCCCAUAACCCUCAGUGCCUUAAAACCAUGGCGUGCAUGUCUGUGAGUGUGCAUGUGUGUGACAAGUCUAAAUCUUCUCCAAACAGAAAAUCAAUACAACACACUGCAUAGUAAUAGCGCCCAACAAUGGAGGACCGGCAGGCAGCCAGCCAAUCAGCACAGCGCAGGGCUGGGCCAUGGUUAGACAUGCUGCUUUAUGACCUUUCAGGUGAAUUACACAAAGACUCCUGAACAUUUACUUAUUGUUAAGAAUGGAAACCCCCUCCGUUCCUGCCUCUGCUGAGAAGCAAACGUCGAAGAAGCAGGUUGCUGGUGCGAAGGCCACACAAACAGGUGUGGUUUAUCAAGGACCAUUUGAGUCGGCCUAUGCUAACAGUGGGAAUGUUAAAAUAAACCACUGCAAAAAAAUCCAUAUUCCAUGUUUAUAAUGGCUUGGUGCAGGUAUUGUUUGGAGAAGGUGGAAAAAAAUAUGGGAACCUUAAACACGCUGAUUUGAACUGGGAUCAAAUUAAAAAUCCAUCUGAAAAAAUGCUAUAGCCUCCAAAACGACAUCUGGCAGGGUCCAUAUUUUUCUGUAGUUUACAUGUCAAUCUGGGUGAAAUGCACAACAUCAUUGGUAAACAGGUUUAUUUUCAGAGCACACGUGCUAAUCACGCACCUUAACCAAAUCAAAUGGAGUAACAUUUGAUGGAGGUAGUAUUAUAUUUCUGGAUCAGGUCCCUUGAAAAGACAAAUGUGAUUUGGCAAGUGGCACAAGCAAACCCAUCCUUCCCAUUGGCCCGGACUGGCAAACGCCCACUCAGCGGACGCUCAAGGAAAAGCUACGUUUUUCCACCAAUAAAGAUGAAUCACCCUGCUGCUACCAUUAGAUUUAUUCCCCUCCAAGGUCGCCACUGAAGCCUUUAUUGUGAAAGGUGGCCAACAGGCCGGCCUGCGAGAUGGCAGAGAAGAAAUGAGGUGGAAAAGAAACUGCCUUCUUCCUACACAACACACACACACACACACACACACACACACACACAGACACACACACAAUCACACAUAUUAUUCACUAGCACCCACUGCCUUCCAUAUCAUCAUAAGGCUCUAUUCGAAUUACCAAAACAGAUGACAGAGGUUGUUACUAGUCUUUGCAGCAAUAUGUCUUUUAAGUUCAAUCCCUACAUUUGACGUUGAUAACGUGUCGCCCGCCUGUUGCAGGAAUUACGUGGCCAUGAGCAAAACAAAAGAGAGUAAUUGGUUGUUUUCUCGGGAAUGGCUGCUGACAGACACAUUGUGCUUAUGUUAUUUCAAAGUGCAGUAGUUAAAAUAAGUGUGAUACGCUGGUACGAUGCCAAUAUCAGCCCCCGCUGCUUUAUGUCGUGUCAUCCAUCCCAGCUGACUAUGGGAGAGAGCCAGCGCUCACCCUGCUGUAUUGUUUAGAAUGUCAGUUUGCCAUCAAAGACUACAGGGCGCUAGUGGCAUGUACAUGGAUGCAUGUUCAUACAGUAUGUGUCCACAAGCAGACACACACACACACACACACAUCUGUGCAAACAUAAUGGACACCCACACACUCGCCCACACACAUCUACAAAUAUAGAAACAGAUGGCACAGAACAACAAAACACUUUCCUCCCCGGUCUUGCGACUUAGCGGAGGUCCUUUCUGCACUGAUCAAUGAUCCAAUUGAUAUGUUGAGAAGAGAUUAAGAGGCUUUUAGGUCAAAAACAACAUGUUCCACAGUACCUGAGACUGACUUCUGUUGUAGAGGAAUGCCAACAUGCUAUUACCAGGAGAUUACCUGUAAUCUCAUAUUACUUAAAACAGGGUGGAGAGGCUUUCGUGCGAGGCAUUGUAAAAUUGAAUUUAGCUGUCAGCUUGGUUGAAGACUUAUACACAGACUCAUAUUUGCAGAGAAACAUGCCUGCAUUUGCGCCCUGGAACAACAUGCCUGGAACAGCCACAAGACAUGAUUUUCAGCUCAGACUCCAGUGUCAACAGAACUCACACUGAACUCUUGUUAUCUUUUGGGAUAAUAGCGGUUUCUUGCCGAGGGAUCAGUUCAUAAAGAAACGUAUGAUCAUCAAAGUGUUAAACUGUAUUCAUGCAAACACAACAAACUGCAUAAAGUUUACAGCGCAAAUCCAUGCAGAUUAAUUGGCAACAGCGAACCACCAACUGUUCCACAAUAACAGGAGCAAAAAACAUGUAAAGACAGAACAGAAGUGAACAUGAAAACAUUAGUGUGUAUUUAAUUUUCUCUCUCUGUCGCACCUGGAUGAUUGCUAUUUUGUAUUGACCGCACUUCCCUCGGGGUGAGAGGUUUCUUUUUUUUUUGUUCCUGGUGCCGUACAAAAAAAUGAUGAUUAUGACAGCCCACAAAAAAAAAGUAAUUCACACUGUUCAAAGCUGCACCAUGGGAUUACCUCACGUCUAUUGCAUGAAAUAUUUCAAAUGUGACUUUAACCCCCAGCACAGCCAACGAGCCCCAGAGUACCUUUUGAAGAAAGCUUAAAAGAGGUCCGAGACCAGGCCAAAUGAGAUAUGAUGAAAGCAUUGAGCCUUUUGAGACGUAUUUACCUAAAGCACACCUUUAGCAGUCCCUCCUUUCCCGACCGCGGACACUACUCAGCCAUUUUCAACCCGUCAAAUGCUAAAUUGUACACAUUUGAUGAUAUAAUAUCAAUAGUAGCAACGACAUUGGUUGAUUUCACCACAGUGGGGUUUGGUAGAUUAGUUCAUAGGAUUAAACUCUCGUUUGACUGCGCAGCACCUCUCAAACAACAUAGACAGGACAGGUAGCUCCGUCUCCGCGCUACAACAAACUUUCCUCAAAGCUGCAUAGUCAAUAUUUAUCCAAGCAGCCACACAAUGGCUGCUUCUCGGCUCUGAGGUCUGGCAUUUUGAAAGCAAAGCAGCCUGCAGACGUAAACCACAGCCCGGCAGGCACUUGAAGCGACUCAUGUGGUAGGAGAGGUCACAUCAAACUUUCACUAUGCUCGUUUCCCCGGUAAAUUGGAAGACUGUUAGGAGACAAUGAGGAGAAAUGAGGUGGCUGAGGGAAGAGAUGAGUGAGGGAUGAGGAUAAAGUAGCAGGAAGGCUUGUUGGAAAAAAGCCAAGUCUCCCAUGUAUCCCAACGAGCAUUUGGAACAGAUGUUGAUAUGUCAGAAACAACAAUGAAAACAUGUGUAGCAAUAAAAGUAAAGCUGAGACGUCGCUUUUGCGGCUGACGACUUGACUGUAGUGUAAUCCGAUAUCUUCUUUGACAGCGGAGAACAGGUUUCCAAACCUGUUUCAAGACCUGCACUCCCAUGUUUUACCUUUUUCUCUGUGGGCCACAUGUCCACUCGGCCUCCUACAAAGUCAGUGCACCAUUGCGUUGUGUCUGUAAUGCCAACGCAGCGCCGCACGGGCCAACGGGUGUCUCUGACAAGAGAAGCAUGAAUUUGUGACAGGCAUCUCCCCAGACGAGCAUGGGAGGGGGGGAGGGGGGGUUGAUGAACAUGGGAGUGAAGAUGAACAGGGCUGCAGAUGAAAGGGCCCUCAUAGGCAGUGUGGAACAGUGGGUUUCUAUAGGAAGCAUCUGUGUCUGUACAUGCAUACGAGAAUAUGGCUCUAGGUUUUGUACACUAUGUGUGUGUGUGUGCUUGUAAAAAGAAUUAUCAAAGAGAAAAUCUCCUGGUUAUGUCAUUGCUUGGCCUCAAAAACUAGUUUAUGGUACUUGGAUGGAUUGAAAGGUAUGUUUAUCAUAUUAUGACUACAGUUUGUUAACGCUUAUUUGCUUUGUCGGCCAGGCUUGUCUGGGAAGGAAGUAAUGUAUCUCAGAGGGUGAAUACAAUUUAAGAAAUAAAAGACUGUCAUAACAUUGGAGGGGUGUUGCCGCUAAAAAGGUCAAAGAGACACAAGGGCUAACUAAUAACACAAAGCAUCAUGCUGGAGGAGGAUAUAAGGCAGCAAAUCACAUUUUCUUUCCUAUUAUUGGCCAUUAAGUGAUUGGUUUAGUGUUUUUGGAAUUAUUUGAAUAUCUUGACAGGCUUUUACUUUGAUUUUGGCAAUAAGACAAAAAAAGAAGGUCAUAAUAACCCAAUUGUUUUUCAUCCAUCAAGUGAGAGAGUGAAAGAAAAAGACUGUUCCCUUGUAAAUACAUUUUUUCAUGAUGUGUGUCUUGAGUUUGAAAACACCGUCCAGUUUAGAGUUUUGUAAUCCGAGAAUAGAUUUACACUCCGUCCACAAGUGUUUCAAAUAUCAUGACUCUCACUCUCGCAAAGUGGUAAUAACAAAUAUAAAAAGUGCAGUAAAAACUUCCACAUGACCUAAAGCGCUCCAAGUAGUUGUUCCCUAUUUCAUUGCCAAUCAACCAUUCAUACUGUAUGUGUGAAAUAAUGUUAUGUUAUAUGAUUUAGUAUAUUUAUCAAAAAGGAGUUAAUUGGCAUGCAGAUAACAGACUGAAGUUGUUAAUAUUCAAUCUUAUCUUCAGCUGUACUCUUAGGGUUGUCUAUGUCAGCAACUCGCCGUCUUAUCAGCAAAGGUGAAUCUUGUAAUGAUUGUAAUGAUGAAAAUUGUCUAUAACAACAUCAGAAACUUCUCUCUCUCUGAUGUAGCAUUUAAUACUAUUAAUAUGUUAUUAAAUAUGUCAUAAUAGUUGUAGUACUUGCACUCAUGUACUCACUAUUCUAGUAUGUUACAGAGUAGAAGUGCACACGGGUAAUAAGAGAAAAAAAGGGUGUUCAAGAUCUUAAUAGAUAAAUAAAACUGUAGAUUCCCUUCAAAUCAACCUAGAUUGUAUUAAAAAAAAGUCAGCUGACCCAUAUUUGAGGGUGUUUAUGACCACAAUGUAGAAAAGUCCACCUUUUCUUCCUCCGUGGGCAUGUCCUGAGUAUGAUAGUUCAUCAAGCAGACAAGUGAAAACACAGAGAAGUGUGUGUUUCCUCCCAACGCCUGGAGCUUUUAGUCUGACCUUCUCCCCUCCCGCCAUCUCCCUCUCACCUUCUCCCUCUCCCUCUUCUGCCCCGGGGCACCGGCGGGUGGGUCUUCGGCAGGGUCCCCUGGCAUCACCCGUACCUCGGGCUUGAAAAAGAAACAAAAAAAAGCCCCAAAAGAAUGAUGGCUAGCCUUGACUUUGUUGAGACAGUGCUCGGGCCAGUAGAAAUGACGUAAAUAUCAAUGGCGGUGGUCUCAAAAAAACCCAUUAGUCAAGGUCUGCGGCUCGUUGUCGGAGCAUCAGCACGGAAUCGCCCCGAGGUUCGCAACGCCACCACUGUCCUUGUAGCCGAGCGAAAAUAAAGCAACCCGAGCCAGGCAUAAAUCAUUGGGAACAUUUGUUACCUCGGGUAAUUGUGCUUCAUUCAUCUUCAGGCCUUUUUCCAUUUGUCAACUCCCAGAGGCUGCCGGGUGUCAGCUGGGCAGGUCUGUGCUGUUAGUCUGACUGCGCCGAGCCAGAGGUGCAGGACAGGAGGCGUGAAGGAAACAGUGAAUCACAACGCAGCAGAGGGAAACUGCACAAGGCCGCAAUUGUGAUCUACUGGCGGUUCUGUUGGUGCAUCUGUCUGGACAAGUGCACAUGGUUUUAGUAAAUUUUACAGAUAGUACACAUUGCUGAUGCAAAACACAUCACGCUAAAGGAGGGCUGUGCUAAUGUAGCAUAAUGUAAAUAACUAGCACAUGGGAAAUCUGCAAUUUCUACAUACGAUAUUUAAUGCCAUUGGAAUUGACUAAUUUGUGUGAUUUUUUGCUGAUUACUUGUUUUUAUCACUUUUAAAACUUUGGUUCGGUCUGUUUUACUAUUUAUUUAUUUAGCUUUACUUUAAACACGCAAGAAAAACUACUACAACAUCAGUAUGCUAACAUGCUCACAAUGGCAAUGCUAACGGGGUGACGUUUAGUACAGUUAAGGUUUAUAAGAAUGUCCUCAGUUUUGAGGGUUUUUUCAUAAAUGGACUAAUUAAAAGUUUGAUCAGACCUUUCAUUGGGUAAAGUUGACCUUUAAAAAAUAGGAAUAGAACAAAAUGAAUAUUUUACCAAACAAACUAAAAGUGCCGUCUAACGCUGCCUAAAAACUGAGCCCAUACGAAUUGUGGUUGAAGCUAAAAGAGAGUUAGAACGGGCUGAAAGAAGCUGAAGCAACACAGACUAGUGGUGUGUUAAUGUAUUGUGAUCUGCUCUUUAGGAAGGAAUCUAUUAACACCAAUUGUAACCACACUGCCUUGGAACCUGCUCCAGCUGUUAGCACCCUGACACCUCCAUUCACCUUAGUGACACACGCGUCUUUAACACACCGUUGUCGAGAACGCACGUGGACGCACACCCUCUGUGACACCGCUCAACAAAAGACUAUUUGUUAAGCACGUUGGAGAUAAUGUCUUUAAAAGGAAGUAGCAGAGCAAGAGAGCACAAUGCCAUCUGAAUAAAAAGUAAAGAGAGGGUGGAAAGAAACGGAAAAGAGAGACCUAUUACAAAGAGUGCAAAAGCAUCUUUUCCACCAUAAAUGAUACAUUGCCUCUUUGACAUUGUUUGUAGUCUCUGUAAUUCUUUCUGAAUCUGAAAACCAGGCUACAUCAUUAAAGUGAAAGUAUAGCAAUUUAGUGCCCCAAACCUAAAGCUAACAGUUCAGAGUUACAAAGGUGUACAAUGUGCGUGAUAUCGCUCCUACUCUUGCAGUGGUACUUCAGCAACACCCGUAGCACAAGUCAAAGGUAGUCAGAUUUACGUGUUUACACUGAUCCAAGGUUAGGCAGGAUAAAUUGUUGCUUUUCAAUUUGGAUGAAAAGAAUGUAUUUGCCUCACAGGGAUUUAUAACAGCAUUUUACAUCCUCUUUUCUUUAGAGGUAACAUGCAGCGAGAUACUGCUAUGUGGGAAUAUACAUUUGCAUAAUAUGCUCUUGCCUGAGGUGUAUUGAGAACUAAAUUGCUUUUGACUUUUUAAAAAGUCAAAAUCUAGACAAUUUAAUCCUAAUAAUUACCAAAAGCUCCAAAAGGGCUGGCUCCUUAUGUUCCCAUAAUGCAGCUCAAUCCCAUCUCCCACCCGGCUCGCUGUGUGUGUUGGAGCUUUUAUGUUCAACAAAUGAGGCCUCUAAAGCCAAACGGAGAUGACAUCAUCAUCAGGGUUAGUUCCUAGGACUUGACAAGCUCUUUCAGGGCCACAGAACAGAUAACUGUUUUCGCAUUUUCCUCACUGACAGGAGAACUACAUCUAGAUUUGUCAGGGUGUUACGCUCAGCCACAUUUCCCUCAAAACGAUUAACGGAGGCUUCACAUAUUCACUCAUUUAGCAGACACAAUUAGAACGGAUGCAAUUGAAAUGGGGAAUCGCGGAGAAGCGAAGAAGAACUGCAGAGGGCGGGUUCCGAGUGUUUUCAGCUCCUCUAAGGGCCUCCGCUCACGAGUGGCUGGGUGGCUGCUGACAGGUGAGGAUGUCUUUUAUCAACAGGUGUUGGGAAGCCGGCGAAGAUACGAGUCAAGAUAACGCAGGCAAGCAGCACAAAUGAUCCAGGAAGAGAGCGAGAAAAGGAUGGAGCGAAAACCGCAGACACCACAGCCACAUUCUCAGCCUGCAAACACCCUUUCACCACUUCCAGUGUCACCUCCCACACACACACACACACACACACACUUAUCUCGCCCGAAUCUGAAGGAGGCGGAUGCUCUGAGGAUCCACACGUUGCCAGCUGGAGCAUAAUUAGUAGAAGACCUGCAGCCAGCCGUUGCCCAAGCUCACUUACGCACGUUCGGUUCUAAAACAAACAAGCAGCGAACUAAGACAAACAGGGAGAAUGCCCUGAGCCAAAGCCUGCCUCUUAUCGGAGGCUCCUCGCACACUUCUCCCCCGUGACAAACUCUAUAUAUGGAAUUUCAUUGCGUGCUGAUUAGACUUUUUUUCAUGAUGUAGUUUGAUUGUUCGAGAUUUGUGCAUUUUUAAAAAGAAUGGACCCUUGAAUUUGACGUUGAAGGAGAAAUACUGUGUUUCAAAGGGCAGGAUGGAAAGGUCCCGACAGAGAACAAAGCUUCCUGUCUGCGCUGCCGGACGGGCACCGUCACUGUCGUGAGAUGUCCAAGCUGGCUUCAGUCCAGGCAACACGGUCCCCAGAGAAACAGGGCUAUCUGUUGGUGUGCAGGUAGCUAAAGGGGGGAGGUGGGGGGGAGGCCGGGGAUCAGCAUCCUGCUUCUAAACCUGGAAGAGGAAACUAAUCCGGGGUCAAAGAGGGCUGUGGUGUUGAGUGAAACCUCACAUGAGGACGUGGGUAUUUAGAAAAAGUAUUCCCGUCUCUCUAACUCCACCUUCUUCAUUAAAACCCUGCACCUGGGCCCGAGUCUGAUCCAUGGGAAACCCCCUCAUGGCCAUCGCCAGUCUGGCCCCUAAAUCUGUCCCCAGCCCCUUGUUCACUCCUCACUUAUCCUCCUCCUUCCUCCCUUUUUGCGACCCUUUCUGCCAUUUUGGGUCAAGCUCAGGGGCACAAUAUUAAGCGAAUGCCGAAAGAAAUGGGAUGGGAUGGGAUUAGGGAGAUAACGGAAGGCCAGAGUUAGGUUUGGUUUCCGGCGAGAGAAAAAAAAUAGAAACUCAGACAUCUGAUCGGUCCGGUUGCUCUCACAAUUAAUAAUGGGUUGCAAUCGGGGAUAUUUUCAAUGCCGUUCCUCGGUUUCAGGAUGCCGGCUGCCAGUUGUCAUACAGGGUCAUCGGGGUGAAACCUGUCCGGACCCAGCUAGCACCUGAUAAAAGCCUCAGUGGGUGCUUAUUUUACACACAAACACACACAUACACACGUACAUGAUUAUAGACUCACCAGCGGGAAAGACAAGCAAAUCCCGACGCCUUUUAACCCGUGGGUUCAUUCAAGUAUGUUAAAUAUGGCUUUCAUCAUUCUAAUGUAGAUUUCAAACAUUUUUUUUGUGUUAUUUGGACAGGACCAUUAAGGGCAUAUAAAGUUGGAUCGUUUAUUAGAUUUUUCCGGGAUGCAACAUUUAGGUAAGUCUUCUUUUCUGACUUUGCUGGUUUACCGACUGUUAAUCAUUAAAACUGCAAGAAUGUGUAUCACACCUGCUUGUGCAGGAAAACAAUACAAAACUGGAAAGUAAGCAUUAAAGCGUAGCUGCCCGAAACUCCACCUUCAGUUGCAUUUGCAGUAACUGUGGCAUGUUGCCUUCUAAUAAAAAGGUGAUUUGAUCCCAAGCUCCUGCUGUCUGCAUGUCAAAGUUUCCUUGGGCGAGACAAUAAUAAUUAAGUGAUUUACGGAGGUACAUACUCAACGUUCUUCGUUUCACACGGGACCCAAACAGCGCUUCACAGGGGGAAAGUCCUGUGUUUGCUUCUCCAACCGACUCCAUCCACAGACUCUUCAUGGCCACUAGAGGCAGCCUCACAUGUACAAAACUGACGGCAACAUUGUAUGUGGAAAAUCAUUGUUUGAUGCAAAGGGCCACUCACCAACCUACUUGAUACAUUUUUUGCUGUGAAGUCAGAGUUACAAUCUGUUGUUAGGAUAAAAGCAUCUGCUACAUCUGAAAUUUCAUUGUUUCCGAGGUGUGGAUUUGUUAUUUGGGCAAUUGGGUGAAUGUUUUAUAACUAUCAUUCCUGCAAGUUUGUCCCCAGGCCAAUUCCAUAAGUCCUGCCAAAAGUGUGUUUACACCAAGAACCAUUCUCACUGCUUAGCUCUGUACAGGCAGCUGAGCCAGCUGUGGCAUCAUACAGCUGCUCCAGCCACAGGUUUUAUUGAGAACGUUUUAACUGCCAAUCAAGUGAAUAUGUUGCAUGCAAAGUGUUGGUUCUCUUGGUGCCUAUGGCUCCUGAAGGCAACACAGUUGAGGAAGGUUGUCAGUCUUCUUCCAUGCUGUCACUCAUGAUGCCGAUGAUGAGGAUGCCCCCCUCAGCUAAUGAUACCCCCUAAUAACAGAUCACGGCAAAAAGAAAAAAUACAAUCAGAAUUUUUUUUUUAUUUGAAUAUGUAAAUAUUACAUUUUUUAAAAAGCUCACCCAGACAAGACAUUUAAUUUUAUCUCAGUGUGUUGUCCGAUGAAGGGUGUUUUUCUAUAAUAUCAUAAAGGUUGUUGUCUCUUCAGCAAGGAAAGAAUACCGCACCAUUUUCUUCUUACAGUUUUUAGGAGAUAGCUAAACUUAUUUUUUGUAUUAUUAUUUGUAUUUAUUCACCUUUUUAUUUUAUAAAGGAGCUUGAAUAACCAACCAAACAUCCCAUUUCAUGUCUUUUUUAUUGUUUUAAAUACAUUGAUUUGUUUGUCUGUUGAAGCACUUUGAGUUGUAUUUCAUGUUAUAAAAGGUGCUUCUUCAUAUUACAUGAAACUAACUUUGCACACAACUAUUGAAAACUAAAUAGCUUCUUCAAACUAUGGAAAAGAAAACAGAAGUAACAUUAACCGUAAGUCGGCCCACGGGAUCUCCUCUCGGCCCCGACCGGCCUGCCGGCCCUCCAGAGCCCUUCUGUUGAUCACAUCCUCUCCGGUGGUGCUGCAGACACGCACACUCACACUCACACACACACACACACAAACAAAUCUGCACCCACAGCUCAUGCAAACACUACAGUUUGUCUCUCGAACCGAAGCAGGCUCAGAUUUCAGGCCUUGUGGUCUCCAAAAUAUAUAUCGAAGUACACAUCAGGCUAUGUGUCACUAAUGUUUACAGCAAAGUGAUUUAUGAGGCUUUUUGGGGAGAAGAAGGAAGUGUGAUACGGUUGGAAUGAGUUUCAGAGAGAAGCGAAGAGGAGGUCAAGCUACUGUGGCCAUUCAAUAUUACCAGAAAAUACAUUGAGGAUUGUUUAUCAGGGAGAAAAAGAGAAUAUAUAGUAUUUCAUGUAAAUCAUGACAUAUAAUGACAUCAAAGAACCAUCAGAGUCUAGACAGUUUUUUUGGCUUGUGGUUUGUUGAAUGUUUAAGCUGAGCGUAAUGCUUGUGCAAAUGCCAGGCUUAACUGCAGGAAAAAAUAAAUAGUUUUAAAUAAAAAUGUUGUCAAAUAAGUAAAGAUCAAUUUUCCUUUUUGCCAUCUUCGUAUGACAGGCUCUUCCUGUUGGACUUCACGUGAGCAACAAGUCCAACUGGAAAGGUUCUGUUUAAUUUAGUGAACACAUGGACACGUCACAGUGUACUCUGACAACAGGGACAUCUUAUGGCAAAUACGGCAAUAACACGGCUUAGCUUAACAAAUACAAAGGCGAGUCUCUUUUCACAUGUCAUAUAUUAGGUCUAAGCCUUUUGACAAUCAAACUCAGGCUAAAUAAAUAGUUACAACAGCAUUAAUAGUUUGUACAAUGGUGAUCUUUUUUUGAUGCAUCCAUUAAGGCUUAAAGCUUGACGAAAAUAGGUUAUGUUUAGCUUUCAAGGUGACACAACAAAAGUGUUUUUUUGCAUUCCAGUUCAAGUUUUAUAGCUGGCAGUAACAAUAUACGUAGGUAUAUUUGACUGGGAUGUUACAACAUUCAUGUGUUCUCCAUAUGCGUUACCUUUGUUAUCAAUGCACAGGACCAACAUUACCAGUUGGACCCAUUUGGAUUCAAGCUGUAGGGAACACAGAAUGUAGUGUUUGUAAGAUUUGAAUUUCAUCUUGUUGGUAAUUGAAAUGUUGCAUCAGGUCCCUCAGUAAUAUGUUGGUAUGACAUCUGCCCCAUCAGGACCAUUUUCCCCAUAUCUAUUUCCCUUUAGCGAUUGAAGCAAUUUUGAUUUUAAUAAUCUGUUUGAUGGGGGUCGAACUGCGAGCAGAACAAUAAAUGCCACAUGUGCCUUUGCUGAAGCUACAAACCACAUGAAAAGAAAAGAGGUGGGGGCACCAAUUCAAUCCAGAUAUGUCCAGAUUCAAACAUUCAGCGGAAGGUGGCCUGGGCUGAAACACCAAACGACCACCCCAAAGUCACCCUGCGGUCUCCCUGAAGACAAAUGGACCCCCGAAGUAUGAAGGCAACGCGGAAUAAUAGAUCUAGUUACGGUGAUAUACAUAACAGCUCGGUCUUGCUCUGUGUUUCAGCUUUAAUAAUGGUUGAGUUGCACACUGCCUUCUCCCAAGUAUGCAUGGAAUUUCCACCAAGAAAAACUCAAGCAAAGAAAAAAAAGAAAACAAUGAAUCUAUAGUUCGUUGUGUGCUUUGGCAAAACAAGAAUGGUCUCCCUUUUUUAGCGUGUGAGACGGGGAAGGAGGUAUAAGGGUGGGAGUGUGGUGUUUAUUGGUUUCUGCCAAGCCAGUCAGAGAAGCAAACACAAGCAGAGUGAAACCUGAUCGACUGGCACUGUGCCUGGACCGGCGGCGCGCGGCGCAGCGUCAGGGGAAAAACACUGACAAACAUAUACAAGCACGGGGCCCGGGACUCCAAAUAAUCAGAAGAUGAGCAGGUCAGAUAACAAAUGCCCCAAACACACCAGUAAAUGAAGACAAACCCAACAAAUGCCUCAUAGCUUUCUGGACGGGACGGAGAACAGGAGCGCUGUGGAUGUUUGUGAAAGUCAGAUCCAGGAUGACUUCAAGUGUCUCGGAGUUUUCCGAUUGAAGUUUACUAACUCCAUCCCCUUAAUCCCAUCCCACUUCACACACACACACACUCUCCAGGCCAGCAGGAAAAUCCCUCUGUGGCGAGGCAUUUCGUUUUAACUUGAUAUGCUUGUGAAUCACCCCCAGUGCUGCAGUGCUGCUCCACUAAUGAACACAGGGCCCACAGACGGAGCUGUCCAUGCCUUGCUACGCUCCUGGAUCGCACUGGAAAACAGGAUCCAGCUGCCCACCACCCUGUCAUUACAGGAAGAAAAAAAAAAAAAUCCCAGAACACCCUCUGCUUGCCCCUUGGACUCGUUUCAUCCCCUGACCGCAUCUCAUACUCACCCAUCAGACCCUCCUGCUGCUAACCUUGGUCUGGACUCAACCCCUGUGACCUGCCUUAAUCUUCAAACCUGCAGCUGUACUAAUAAUCUGCAUCACACAUUAUUCAUUUCAUGUCCCAAUCACUUGUUUUAAUAUUAACACGCCGUCCUUGCCUUCAGCUUGUACACACAUCUCUGCAAUACUCCGCAUUUGUUUGAUUAAUCUUUGCACUGGAUGACAUCAUUCCCUGAAGUUCAUCUCGUUUACAUGUGACGCGGGUUUGUGACCUCAGCUUGAGACCAGCUCUGCUUUCACCCAAUAUUACUGAUGGUUGUGUGUAUUUUUGUUUGCACUGUGCACACUGUAGUGAAAGUGAUAAAUCUCCAGCGACAGUCUUGGAUCCAUAUCAGUGCCAGACACCAGCAUAAAUACGAGCGUGCUGUUGACACUGUAUGGAAGUGUGUGGAAGACGGGAGGGGGAUUCAGGAGGGUUGCCAUGGAAUUUCCAUCUGAUAAGCUCAUCAAAGCAUAGAGCUUGUGAUGCGUGAGUCUUGUCAGUGGGAGGGCAUGGGAAACGGCACAUGUAUGCGCAAAGGGGUGGACAAAAGGCACACACAUGCCCAGCUGAUACCAGCAUCAGGGUAAAGCCAGGCCGUGUCUAAUACGCGGAGUACAAAGUAAACACGGCGCUGUGGCAUCAGGGCUUUCCGCUUUCUGGCAAACCAUGUGACUCAAAACAAGCCCGCGGCCAAAAAGAAUUUGUGGAGUGCAGGGCGGGGCCCGGGACACAGGAUGAGCCAUAAAAUCCAAGUGUGCACAGUCAUAGACACACACCACGGUAACAAGAGUCGACUAGAUAUGAUUGCUUUGUUGUACUGUCAACAGCAGUUAGGGUAGAAGUACGGCAAAUUGAUUUACCGAAGGCAAACGGAGAAUCGGAAAAGGCUGCACGUUGGCGCUUGCUGCCACCUUUUAAAGUGAAGCAGCGAUUGCUUUAAAACUCUAGAAACAAUUUGCAUUCUUUGAGAUGUUGGUCAUUUUUACCUAAACAGAUCAAAAUUGCAAAUUAUCUCCAGAGUUUAUUUUCUUCUUUUUCAUGUCCACAACUAGCGUGAUUGGAUGUUGUGUUCGAAGUGCUGCCAAACCCAGGCAACCUUCACUUUAACGCAACCUAUGAAGACACAGACGCAUUGUUCAGACUGUUUAUUCCAAGACCCUUAUCCGUAAAAAUGCCUGGUAUGCCCCCCAAAAAGCCCAUUGUCAUACAUUUACACACUCUCCAUGCAACAAAUGAAAGCACAUAUAAGUAAGUAGCAUGCAAAAUGACGUUGCAGCUGGAAUAUCUCUUAUUCUUCCACGGUGAAGGCAUGAGCUGGUUAUCUAACCGACAUCAGUCCUCACACCAAAACCGAACCCACCCAACCGCAGCAGGCAACAAGUAACAAGAGUGGCGGGUCAUGACUUUGUCAGUGGCAAACAAAAGGUCAGAUGGCGUCAUUCUGCAUAAUAAUUAGCCAUGUGCUUGUUUGCACAUAGAUGUCCUUCAGUACGUCGUUCGUUUGUUUUAGGGGUUCUGCAAAUUCUUGCAAUGGAUAAAACAACGGACAUUUCCCCAAACGUAGCUGCCGCUCUACUCCUGGAGCUUUUGACCAUGUCACAUGAUCUUCAUUGGCUCCAUUGUACCCCAUCAAAGGGCUUGAGAUGUACUGGGAGCCCUGGUUCUUCACUUGUGCAGCAAAGAGCAUCUUGUUUUCCUGUUUGUUGAUGUGUCAAGAGCAAAGAUCUCACUGCGGCUGCUGUGUUGUUUUGACGAUGAGCCUGUGUGUGCGUGUGUGCGUGCGUGCGCGCGCGUGUGUGUGUGUGUGUGUGUGUGUGUGUGUGUGUGUGUGUGUGGCAGGCAGGCGGGUUUACAGACUCCCCUGCUGGCUUGUAGUUGUAGACACAAUAAACCAUCAAACAUGGCAAAGGGGGAUGUGACCCCCCCCCCCCCUCCCCCCAUACACACAAACACACACACACACAAAUCCUGCGGUCUAAAAUGUUUCACAAAUCAUGUUAACGAAUAUCCCCAGCUGAAUCUUGUGGUUUUCCACUCCUGACUACAAGGAGCCGUGUGCUUUUGUUGUGGCCGCGGAAAUUCAAGAUGAUCCCCCCCCUGGAUGAAAGCAACAUGUGAAAGAUAUUUGUAACCAUACAGAAAGGCCAAUUGGUAUUAAUGGUGCGGCGUGCAGUAGAGGCCUCGAGAAGUGUGUGUUUGUGUGCGGGUGGGAGUGAGGUAGCAUGUUUGGUCUGGGUCAGACACACUUGUUUCCCAGUAGGAUGGAUCUGUUGAGGGCCACAGGGCAAGGAGCAGACAGAUUCAUCAGAGUCGUCAUCUCAGGGUGUCCGGUAACCCCGAGUGCAGCGCCGCAGCUGCCAGGCCUGCAGAGGCAGCAGUGAUGGGCUCCAGGUGGACGGACGGUGCAGCUUCAGCGAUGCAGAGCUCGUACGUGCACAUCGCACACGUAUGUACAAAAUGUACAUCGUGCAGACAGUCAAGGUACAACAAUUUUCUUCUCCAUCAUUCGUGGUGUAAAUACAUGUAAUUAUAAACUACCUAAAACAUUUACGCUGAGAUUGACAUGUUUUUCACUUAGAAUAGUUGAUAUUUCUAUCAAGCAUUACAUAAUCACACUUAAGGCACAGUUCAUCUCAGAGAGUAGAUUACAGUACUUUGUACCUGAUUCAUGACUAUUGUUGGUAAUAUAGAUAGUGUAGGUGUUGCAGGGAGAAUAUGAGCCGUUCAAAGUAUAAUCACAAUGUAACGUUUUAGUCUGAAGUGCAGGAGAGAAGAAAUAUAUUAAAUUUCUUAUGCAACGCAAAAAUUUGUUUUUGAUAUGAGGGUUGUUAGUUUUGAAAACAAUAAUAAAGCUGAUGUAAACCCAAUGCCUCAGCUGGAAAUCCACCAGAGGAGCCUUGACUUGAAUCUUGAACCUGGAACAGAAAAAGUUGAUCUUCUUUCUUCUCUGUGUAAACUAACAUUUAUUGGAUUAGCUUUGUAGAUGUAGUACGAUAUAUUCCUGAACUUAACGAAGUAGGUUUGUUGACUAAACCUAAAUUUCCUGUGAGGUCAGAAGUAUAUUUUGAAAAAGAGGAGUACUUCUACUUUUAGAUACUGGCACCCUAUUACAGAACUAUUACUUGCCACUGAAUAAGGAAAAGAGACGCAUCAUUUAGAAGAUAACUACUAUUAUUAUAAUUGAUUAUGAUAAUUAAAUCAUGAUUAGUGCAGUUUGUCAGCUGCCAGGAUACCAUUGUGACAUUAGAAUAAUGAUCCAACCUUAAGAAUUCUCAACGGUAUCCUGAGCGAUUUAGCCAGAUUAAGGAUGUGUACACCUUUUUUUUUCACUGUGUAGUUUUUAUUAUCUAUAUUUAAUUAAUAAUAAAGUGGUUGCUUCUGACAACUGUGCUUGCAUGACAUGGCACGUGGCCGAAAGCGGGCAGCGCGACGCUCCGUUCUUCCUGUCCUGCCCUGAGCAGGUGCUGAGAGGAGGCUCGUUGGUGUGAAUGUGAUCAUUGUGCUCUUAAGCUUGUCUUUGCUCGGGACAAGGCUUCGGAGAGUGACGGGUAGUGAAACGUAGGCACCGGGAGCCAUGUGGAGGAUGAGGCCAAAAAAAACAGAUUCUAACGACAACUUUGUAUUAUUCUGCAAAUAUCCCUUUGUCUCCAAUAACAUCUGCUCCUGGACUGCAGUUUGAGAAGAAUUGACAUGUGACAAGCAAAAUUAAUGUUGUCACCUUAAAAACCAUAAAAAAACAGAACAUAGAUAUGUUAACUUAAUGUUUGUUGCUGUUUGUCACAGUGACAUUUGCAGAUCCGCGCUCGGGCUCUUGGCAGCUGAACACACUGAGACGGUUCUACUCAGCGGAGGAAAACGUGCACUGACAUGUCGUCCUGAUACGAACACAACUGCAGCGCUAAUUCAAUUCCAGCUUGUGUUCCUUCCCUUAACCAGGCCGCAUUUGUAGAUCGGCUGCUGUGUGUGGGAGCGAAGCCCGAAAGGUGGGGGGAGAGGAUGUGCGUGAGUGCAAGAGAAAUUCAGAGAAAAAGAGAGAGAACGUGGGAUCCUGAUCUCACUGGGACUUACUCAGUCCCAACUGUAAUAGGAAACCAACGGGACAAAGAGGGGCUGUACAGUGCCGAGCCUUAGCUCGGCCAGAAGGUCCACCCACAACAUGUUGUCAAGCCACGAGGAAUUUAUUACUAAUGUUGGUCAGCUGUAACGACGAGGGGCGGGGGAGCUUUUUUUUUUUUCCCAGCGCGGGGAGGAAAAAAAAAAAAGAGAAAUCAUUAAUUAUGUACACCGCCACCCUUGAUCGUUCGCUGUUUAUCUCUGAAGCGUGCGUUUCCAUUCCGACUGAGUCUCUUCAGCCAGCGUGUCCAUUUAUAAAGCUGGUGGCUUAGCAGCGGGGUCAUGCACUGACCCGGCCAUUGACAGCCAAUGGUCUGAAGGAUUGGAGGUGGAGAAGGCAGAACAAAGCAGACAUGGCAGCAGCAUAUGUGCUGUCAUCUAAACCUUGGCCUUCACAUUGGCCAUGGGCCUCUUUCUCCAUGGGAAAAGGGUCUUGGGGGCCAAAACGACUCAUAAGUGAUUAUAGAAGAGAAUGUAAAGGCACGAGAGCUGAACUGUCGAAAUGACUACUGUGCAGUAGUGAUGAGGAGAACGACGGGCACGUCAGUGUCCAGACCUUAAAGAACGACAUGGACGUGUUGUUUCAGGUACCAUCGGCGUGAUGAAAUUCAUCGGAAUAAAUGAGUGAGGGUGAGAAGAACAUCAAUUUAAAAAGGUCUUUAGAUGCCAAGACAAAUAUUAUGAGAAAGAAUUCUUUGGAAGUGUUUCACCUGACAAUGAUUUUAUCUUUUCACGGCUAUUGGAGUCUUACUACUCUACGUAGCGUAAACUGCAGGAAUGUUGUAUUGUAUUAUAUGGUGGACCAAGUGUGGCAAAAUGUUACGCCGUGUUGAACUUGUUCACUGGAUAAACAUGUUAGUGCAGUGCUUUGGCUACAGCAAAAACAGCAGUCAGAAAAAGUGGGAUUUUUUCUUUUUUUAAAACCCUGUAUUUUAAAUCCAAAUUGUGUAGUAUUAUAUUUUGUCAUUUUUAACCUCUGCUUCAACCUUUGUGAUGAGGACAUCUGGCUCACAUCAGCUAUGGGCUGCUGCUAAACCUGACCAGACCAAAGCUAAUUAAUACUCAUGUUCUAAAUAUUGGAUUUAUGAGUUUCCAUCAGGAAACUCAUAAACUCAUACUGGAAGUUUAAUUUAAUAGCAGGAUGGAGUCAGCUGAUGAUUCAUUCAAUCCUUUGUAUGCAGCUCAAACCGUAAUAUCCAUGCUGCUCACUUGAAAUCUUCUAGUUCAACUGUGAGAAAUCUUCUCAAACUGACGGGUGCACGUUUUUCUGAAUCACCAUCAAACUGGAUUUGACAGCCUCAUCGUUGCUCUGCAUCGAUACAACAGUUAUUGGCCACACCGUUGUAAGCUCUGUGAAUGUUUAUAUAAAGUAACUGAGCACUUGUAAGUCCUUGUGGGUCUCUUUUUUUGAUAGCAUUAUCCAGAUUAGGUUGGGUUUUUUUAAACAUCAUGUGCAAUGUAGUCACUAUUAUUACGAUUAUAUUACAAUUUGGUGUGUUCAUUUCUUGAAUCCCUCACUGGAAAUCGGUCCAAUUGUGUUGAGAGAUGUAUGGAUUCUGGAGAGCACAGAACAACAGAUGCUUAUCAGCAUCCAUGGAGCCCUAACCAGCACUCGUGUAUAAAAUACACUAAUAAUGAGAUAUCAGCAACUGCACUGUGGAGUAUCCUCCUCAUUUUACUGCAAAUAUUCAACCACCUGUCACAUUAGACAUCAAAUAUGUACACACAAUAUCAGCUGCUUCUCUUUGAAUUAAAUGCUAAAUCAAAAUGAGCCUACAGGGGACCACAUGAGAACAGCAGCACGUCGCACCGCGAUAAGAGGAAUUC
ensembl:lncRNA